AUCAUUUCCACCUGCGCUCCGUCCCACCGCCAUCGGAGAUCGGCCAUGGCCGCUUCCUCCGCCGGCACCCCACCGCCGGAUGACAUUUCAUCCUCUCGCCCUACACCAUNNNNNNUUCCGAUUCCCCUACGAGAAUCUCUCUCACUCCCGAUCAGCGUAAGUACUGCUCUGAGGCUCUCCAAUUGUUCAGAGAGAAGCUCCGUACUCCCGAGCG
rnacentral:misc_RNA from 1 species